AGCUGUGACGUUACUCGCAGAAGAAGGACCGGCUAACUCCGUGCCAGCAGCCGCGGUAAUACGGAGGGUCCGAGCGUUAAUCGGAAUUACUGGGCGUAAAGCGUACGCAGGCGGUUUGUUAAGCGAGAUGUGAAAGCCCCGGGCUCAACCUGGGAACUGCAUUUCGAACUGACAAACUAGAGUUUUGUAGAGGGUGGUAGAAUUUCAGGUGUAGCGGUGAAAUGCGUAGAGAUCUGAAGGAAUACCAGUGGCGAAGGCGGCCACCUGGACAAUAACUGACGCUCAUGUACGAAAGCGUGGGGAGCAAACGGGAUUAGAUACCCCGGUAGUCCACGCCGUAAACGAUGUCAACUAGCCGACUGGCCCCUUGAGGGCUGGGUGGCGCAGCUAACGCAUUAAGUUGACCGCCUGGGGAGUACGGCCGCAAGGUUAAAACUCAAAUGAAUUGACGGGGGCCCGCACAAGCGGUGGAGCAUGUGGUUUAAUUCGAUGCAACGCGAAGAACCUUACCUACUCUUGACAUCCACAGAACUUCGCAGAGAUGCUUAGGUGCCUUCGGGAACUGUGAGACAGGUGCUGCAUGGCUGUCGUCAGCUCGUGUUGUGAAAUGUUGGGUUAAGUCCCGCAACGAGCGCAACCCCUAUCCUUAGUUGCCAGCACGUAAUGGUGGGA
rnacentral:rRNA from 1 species